UACGUAGGGGGCAAGCGUUGUCCGGAAUCAUUGGGCGUAAAGCGCGCGUAGGUGGCCAUUUAAGUCCGCUGUGAAAGUCAAAGGCUCAACCUUUGAAAGCCGGUGGAUACUGGAUGGCUAGAGUACGGAAGAGGCGAGUGGAAUUCCUGGUGUAGCGGUGGAAUGCGCAGAUAUCAGGAGGAACACCAAUAGCGAAGGCAGCUCGCUGGGACGUUACUGACACUGAGGCGCGAAAGCGUGGGGAGCGAACAGG
rnacentral:rRNA from 1 species